UUGAGACGGAGUCUCGCUCUGUCGCCCAGGCUGGAGUGCAGUGGCGUGAUCUCGGCUCACUGCAAGCUCUGCCUCCCGGGUUCACGCCAUUCUCCUGCCUCAGCCUCCCGAGUAGCUGAGGCAGGAGAAUUGCUUGAACCCGGGAGGCGGAGCUUGCGGUAAGCCGAGGUCAUGCCAUUGCACCCCAGCCCGGGCAACAAAAGUGAAACUGUGUCUCAAACAAAAAAACUCCCAACAUGUAGUUAGUGCUCAAUACAUAUUAUCAUUCUUAAAUUCCUGAAAACAAUAAUAUCCAAACUCCUGAGCAUAGCACCCAAAACCCUUCAAUAUCUUAGAAUCAUUAGGCUCUCAAAGCAAA
rnacentral:lncRNA from 1 species